ensembl:lncRNA
CUUCUACUUGGAUGUUUAUUUGUUAAUCAAUAUAUACAAUUUCUAUCAGGACGUUUUUUCAUCAUUAAACACCUCUAUUUUUGAAAAAUAAAUCUGAAAUAAAAAUAUAAUUGCCAAAGGCAGUUUUCCUCUCACCUGAUUUGGACAGAGUCUGGACACACUGAGGGGCCGAUUUCGGGGAAGCAGCCAUGGAGAAGGUUGGGAAGGAGAAGUUGGCCACAGCACAGUAGUUCUGACCUGGAGCCAAACCAGAGAACUCCACAUGGGACACCAGCUCCUGGGUCCAGACCGUGCGGCUCUGCAGGAUCACGCAGCACUCUGCAUUUACUGUGGUCCAGGGGUCAAUCAUCUCAGAGAUGGGACAACACCCCCCCAGAGAGCACCUCCUGUUGGCUGCACAGGGGAACUGCACCAUCACAAGUAGCUGGUCGUCGCUCAAAGAGGCCGUGACGGAGGGAGGACUGAAGGCUUGACGGAGGGGGAGAGAGGGUGUUCAUUUUCACAUUCAACAUCAAAAAGGACGCGCAGACUCUCACUGACUGAAGUCACUGUAGUCAAACUUGCGUGGCCUCAUCCAGGCGGUGGACACGGGGCCGAGGUGGACGCCCAGACGGACCAUGUUGUACAGCUCGAAGUUUGAGAAGACGUGCGAGAGGUCACAGGUGUGGGACGAGAGCCAAACGCACCACGGUACGUCCUGCCAGGGGUCCCUGCAACGAGAGGACGCGG